rnacentral:rRNA from 1 species
AUGGAGGGCUUCCCCACAAACCUGCAGUGCCUCAUCUUUAAAGGCAAGCAGCUCGAGGACGAUGAGCGCACGUUGGCCGAGCACAAUAUACACAAGGAUUCCACGAUCCUUCUCGUCCUCCACCCACGCCCCAGAGGUGGGAUGAUCAUCUUCGUGAAGAUGUUGAUAGGGAAGACCCUCACUUUCGAGGUUGAGAGCUCAGACACUGUCGAGAGUGUCAAGGUGAAGAUGUACCAGAAGGAAGGUAUUCCUCCGAUACAAACACGCCUCAUCUUCGCCGGCAAAGAGCUGGACGACAAGCGCACCCUGGCGGAGUACAAGAUUCAGAAGGAGGAUACCCUUCAUCAUCUGCUCUGCCUUUGUGGUUGUUGA